CCUCAUCCCAGGCAGAGAGCAACCCAGCUCUUUCCCCAGACACUGAGAGCUGGUGGUGCCUGCUGUCCCAGGGAGAGUUGCAUCGCCCUCCACAAGCAGGCUUGCAUCUGACUGACCCACCAUGACACCCACAGACUUCACAGCCCUAUUCCUAACAUGGCUGAUGACUAUGGCUCUGAAUCCACAUCUUCCAUGGAAGACUACGUU
rnacentral:lncRNA from 1 species